rnacentral:lncRNA from 1 species
CUGGGGAUUGAUCCUAACCACCAAAAAAAAUCAAGAAAUCUUUCCUUGAUUUUCUCUUUCUCUUGAAGGCUCUCUCUAGAUCUGAUCUAGAAGGAAUAACCAAGGUGUGGAUGGGAGAAGAAGUGGCAUGAAGGAGGAGGGGGGGUGAGGUAGUUAUUGGCGCACACAAAAGCAAGGGAUCGCUACCUCACAGAAAAACCAACUCCCAUUUAUAAUUAUCACCCA